AACUUAGACUCCACAAUACUCUCCUACGCUAAGUGUCUUCUCCCAUCCUCCACAACGCUUGCUGCAAACACUCGCCGCCAACACUCGCCACCAACACUCGCCACAAACACGUAGAGUCCAGCACCGCCGUCGCCGUCCCCGUCCAGCCGCCGCCUUCGCCGUCCAGCCGUCCCCGUCACCGUCCAGCCGUCGUCGUGCAGCGGAAAUCAUUCGCGGUUGCCUCCUCCUCCCCGCAGAAAUCAGGGAAAAUCAAACGUAGUUGCCAAUCUUCUCGCGCAAGACCAUAAACCGAGCAAGAAUAGUGCGCAUUACUCUUUAUGCAUAUAGUAAUUCUACUAAUAUAGUUACAGGCGGACUAAGAAAAUUAAGCAUUUAUUCAGAAAUAGAGAAAACUAAAGUAGGAGGACGCAUUUCUCUCAGCACUGAUUCUAAGAAAUCUGCUAUGCUUAAUAGUACAGCCAUGCAAAGCAGAGCUACUUCUUUGAAGAAAGAGGAACAUGGAGAAAAAUAAAAGCAAGCAUGGUAGUGCAGGAAGGGCAAUUGGGUCAUUGUCCAUCGUAUUAUGAACUGUUCAAGCAUACACAUACCAAACAACACGAUGUCAAACAUUCAUAGCUGAAAAAGCCAAACAAAUUCAUAACAAGUUGCAUCGCAAUGGGAGAUGUUGGCAGAAAAUGGAGAACAGGUGGAUGAUAAUCAAUUAUACUAUGACGCGGUUGGUGGACACGACAAGAAAAGAAGAGUUUAUGGACUUGGUUCAUAUGGUUGUUCUGUUGUUAAUGGUCUAACUAAUGAUAACAUUUCUGGCAAUAUGACCCUAAAAUCGUGACCACCCGACAGUGCUACUUCUGCAAAUGUUCAAGAUGAAAUUCAGAGUGUGAAGGCUACUAUUCUCCUUAUGCAACGACUUGAUGCUAUUGAUGGCGGGAGAGAGGGUAUUUCAUCAUCACCUCCAUCUCAAGUCAAUUGAU